ACCUCCUACCCUUCCCGAUUCAUCCUUUUUCACUCUCUUUCUUUAACCCUUUAACUUCAAUUCCAAUUCCUUUCCCUCAAAAACCCUAAAAACUCAAGAAAUCCAACUCAAACCAUUCUCUGUUUCUCCCAUUUUCCUUCCCAAUUCCAAUGGCGUUAGAGCUUUUCGUCUUGGGCUGCACCGGUGUUGUCGUCUUCCUCCAUGGGGUUAAUUUCUUCUUCCACGCUCUCUGGCACCAUUUCACCCUCCGAUCUCUCAGUUUCUUGGGUGCGAUUGGAUGGUAGGAAUUGGAGAAGGGUGAGUGUGGUGGAUCAUUUAAUCGGGGGGAUGAACACCAGAUUUGGAGACUGUACAUAUCCCACAUUGUGAUUUAAUUUAGGAUUGUCAAGGAAAUUAGGUGCCGAAUCCGAAUUCUGAAUCCUGGACUUGAGAUGCCAUGAGAGAUGUUUUCUGUUGCAUGGACGUGACCCACUCUAUGGAGUGUGAACAUUCUCAAUAUAGAUGUAUGCAAUCAUGAAGGUCUUUAUCUUAGAAACUGGCAUCAGGUAAUGGUUACAGCUAUUAUGAGGUUAUGGUGAUGUAUUUUGGAAUGACAAAUGCUCUACAGUAUAUGAGAACUUCAAGAGCUCCAUUUAAGUGAGAUUUUCAGACUCGUGCAUAGGAGGGUCUAAAUGGUGAUAUGUGUUUAUUUUAAGAUCAGAAAGUAUCAUGAUGUUGUUUCAGAUAAGUUAUACAAUUCAUGGUAGGAGGUGAAGACUUUUUGAAA